AACGAACGCUGGCGGCGCGCCUAAUACAUGCAAGUCGAGCGAGAAGACGUAGCAAUACGUUUGUAAAGCGGCGAACGGGUGAGGAAUACAUGGGUAACCUACCCUCGAGUGGGGAAUAACUAGCCGAAAGGUUAGCUAAUACCGCGUACGCUCCUUGGACUUCGGUUCAGGGAGGAAAGCGAUACCGUGGGUAUCGCGCUCUUGGAUGGGCUCAUGUCCUAUCAGCUUGUUGGUGAGGAACGGCUCACCAAGGCUUCGACGGGUAGCUGGUCUGAGAGGACGAUCAGCCACACUGGCACUGCGACACGGGCCAGACUCCUACGGGAGGCAGCAGUAAGGAAUAUUGCGCAAUGGGCGAAAGCCUGACGCAGCGACGCCGCGUGGGGGAUGAAAUACUUUGUAUGUAAACUCCUGUAAGGGGGAAAAUAUCUCAUUAUUUGUAGAUUGAUUGUACCCUCAGAGUAAGCACCGGCUAACUACGUGCCA
rnacentral:rRNA from 1 species